rnacentral:tRNA from 1 species
ACUUUUAAAGGAUAAUAGUAAUCCGCUGGUCUUAGAAACCACCCCUCUUGAUGCAACUCCAAGUAAAAGUU